GAGGCAGCAGUAGGGAAUCUUCGGCAAUGGACGAAAGUCUGACCGAGCAACGCCGCGUGAGUGAAGAAGGUUUUCGGAUCGUAAAACUCUGUUGUUAGAGAAGAACAAGGAUGAGAGUAACUGUUCAUCCCUUGACGGUAUCUAACCAGAAAGCCACGGCUAACUACGUGCCAGCAGCCGCGGUAAUACGUAGGUGGCAAGCGUUGUCCGGAUUUAUUGGGCGUAAAGUGAGCGCAGGCGGUUUCUUAAGUCUGAUGUGAAAGCCCCCGGCUCAACCGGGGAGGGUCAUUGGAAACUGGGAGACUUGAGUGCAGAAGAGGAGAGUGGAAUUCCAUGUGUAGCGGUGAAAUGCGUAGAUAUAUGGAGGAACACCAGUGGCGAAGGCGGCUCUCUGGUCUGUAACUGACGCUGAGGCUCGAAAGCGUGGGGAGGAAACAGGA
rnacentral:rRNA from 1 species